CUCAGAACGAACGCUGGCGGCAUGCCUAACACAUGCAAGUCGAACGAGACCUUCGGGUCUAGUGGCGCACGGGUGCGUAACGCGUGGGGAUCUGCCCUUUGCUUCGGAAUAACAGUUAGAAAUGACUGCUAAUACCGGAUGAUGUCGUAAGACCAAAGAUUUAUCGGCAAAGGAUGAACCCGCGUAGGAUUAGCUAGUUGGUGGGGUAAAGGCCUACCAAGGCGACGAUCCUUAGCUGGUCUGAGAGGAUGAUCAGCCACACUGGGACUGAGACACGGCCCAGACUCCUACGGGAGGCAGCAGUGGGGAAUAUUGGACAAUGGGCGAAAGCCUGAUCCAGCAAUGCCGCGUGAGUGAUGAAGGCCUUCGGGUUGUAAAGCUCUUUUACCAGGGAUGAUAAUGACAGUACCUGGAGAAUAAGCUCCGGCUAACUCCGUG
rnacentral:rRNA from 1 species